rnacentral:pre_miRNA from 14 species
GUCUAGGACCCCUGGGUGGUCGCGCAGAUCCCGGACGAGCCCCCAAAUGAAAGACCCCCGAAGGGAGCCCCCCACUCAAGUCUCGGGAAAGACGCGCACCCAGUAGGACACAGACACCG